UCCUCUUCUCUCCGCCGCAUUCUCUCUUUUUCUCUCUCUCUUCUCUCGACCUCACCUCCGUCACCGGCGUUCUCCGCACGACGCUGCCGUCUCCGGCCACUCCUGCCAGCUAGUGAGACCACCAAUUUCUUUCGCUUCUCAUUCUCUACCAAACCCCCAAAGAAAAUCACUCAAGCAAAUCAGAUAGGAGGAGAUCGAAGGAAGAGGACCCGACGACCCCUUCUGCAUUUUCCGGCGACUCCAGCCGUUGUUCGGUCUACAUGUGCGACGAGACUAGUUUCCUCAGGCCGUCUCUUCUCUUGCUUUCCGAUGAACUCGGGAGGAAGUGAGGAGUAGGAGGGCUUCACCUGUUCAAUAUCGGUUCUCCAGAGUUGGAGUUCAAAGUUUGAUAGAAGUUUGGGAGAAUGAGAGAAGAAGGGCAGAAGGAAAGAGGAAUUGUGAAAGUGGCCUUGAUACGCUGUUGGGUGCAGAGAUCAAUUCCGGCGACGAAGUCGAGUUUCAAAGGUGUUGAAUGAGAAUUAUUGGUGUUGGAAUUUCAGAAAGGGCAGAAGAAACCAUAUUUUGAAAAUAAAGAUUUGGAAUUUGAGUUACUGUUGGUGAAGGAAGUAGACAAACAAGUGUAGCAGCAUUGAUUCAUUUUUGGCUGGAAAAGAAGAUGGGUAGCAGGGAUCAGAUUGGAGGAUGUACAUGAUAUGAUAUCUUGUUGUAGCUUUGGGAACUCACUGGGCUUAUGGUAAAGGAGAAAUAAAAAUGUAGUAGUUAUAUGUAGAUUAGGAGCAAUAUCACCAAUAUGUAUUGUUAUUAUAUACAUUUCAAAUGAUUUAGUAAUUGAAGUGAAUUAUUGACAU